CCGUUGUUGCCUCGAGUAUAAACUGACCACGUGCGGCUUUUUUUUUUUUUUUUUUUGGGUGUGUGUGUGUGUGUGUGUGUGUGUAGCGCGAUCUCAGCCAAUAGUGUGAAAAUGAUACGCGAAAUUUAUCCUUUGUAGCUUUUAGUGGACUGAGAGGAAGAGAGGAAGAAAACAGCGGGAGGUGGUCUUCUAUCCUGUGGAGGCUGAGGCGUAAUGGUUAACUUGCGGAAGAGGCGGAAGAGGCGGAAGACAGAAUUAUUGUUUUCUUUAGUAUCAUUAUUAACAUUAUUAUUCCAGAUGUUUGUUGCCCGCCAAUCAAUCAUUUUACAGUAUUUGGGUACUGGAGAAUUUACGCCCCCAGGUACGGAUCAUUUCGUUCAUUGGCUUUGGUGUUGGGCGACUAUCACAUCAAUAUUUCCUAAAUAGAGGUGUUAACGUAUUAUCAAACCGGCCCAUCUGAAACUAAAAAAUACUGGUGAUCGCCCCAUGAAUAAUUGCAGUUGUUAGUGCACUUAGUGGACAGAUCAACUGAGUCCAAGUAGCUACAUUAAAAAAUAAAAAUUACCGAAGAGAAAUGGAGCUAGGCCGGCGCAUGCGCAGAUAACGCGGGAGAGACCAGCCAAUCCUCGCAGAGCAGGGUCAGUUGUUGCCGAGAUGUGGAGGGACGAGGUAAUGUAUCAGCUUUUAGUUGCUGAGCGAUUAUUGUUUAUUUUUCUUGGUAUUGUGAUAAUCAGGGUUUUGCGGAUGUUUUUGUAUACAAGUACUGGAACAAUAGUGAAAUGUAAUGUUUUGUGAAAUACUGUCGAUUCUCCGUCGUUCCAGAUUCGAAACGGGAGAUUGAAGUUUCAACUCGCCGUGCACUGCUAACAUGGUUGGUUCUCUGUGGAUGAAGAGCUGCCGUGGGCACUAACAGGGCUGUGACCGUCCCUUCGCCGUGCACUACAUGGCCACAAGAUCACUAAGAGAAACUGCAAGAACAGGAGUUUUGUCGACCACUGACCUUUGGCACGCAGGACUCCACUUGUGUUGGCAGAGUUGGGCAGCAGAGUCACUCUCAAAUCCACAGGAAUGUCCAGAGCACUCUGAGGCUUGUAGUACUGCAAGAAUAUGACAUUGUACAAUUGUUGGAAAUAAAUCAUUUCACUAAGGAGAUGA